UACGAAGGGGGCUAGCGUUGCUCGGAAUCACUGGGCGUAAAGCGCACGUAGGCGGCUUUUUAAGUCAGAGGUGAAAUCCUGGAGCUCAACUCCAGAACUGCCUUUGAUACUGGAGAGCUUGAGUCCGGGAGAGGUGAGUGGAACUGCGAGUGUAGAGGUGAAAUUCGUAGAUAUUCGCAAGAACACCAGUGGCGAAGGCGGCCAACUGGUCCGGUACUGACGCUGAGGUGCGAAAGCGUGGGGAGCAAACAGG
rnacentral:rRNA from 1 species